rnacentral:rRNA from 1 species
UACGUAGGGGGCAAGCGUUGUCCGGAAUUAUUGGGCGUAAAGAGCGUGUAGGCGGUCCGGUAAGUCAGCUGUGAAAGUCAAGGGCUCAACCCUUGAAUGCCGGUUGAUACUGUCGGGCUAGAGUCCGGAAGAGGCGAGUGGAAUUCCCGGUGUAGCGGUGAAAUGCGCAGAUAUCAGGAGGAACACCAAUAGCGAAGGCAGCUCGCUGGGACGGUACUGACACUGAGGCGCGAAAGCGUGGGGAGCGAACAGG